rnacentral:rRNA from 1 species
GACGAACGCUGGCGGCGUGCUUAACACAUGCAAGUCGAACGGAAAGGCCCUGCUUUUGUGGGGUGCUCGAGUGGCGAACGGGUGAGUAACACGUGAGUAACCUGCCCUUGACUUUGGGAUAACUUCAGGAAACUGGGGCUAAUACCGGAUAGGAGCUCCUGCUGCAUGGUGGGGGUUGGAAAGUUUCGGCGGUUGGGGAUGGACUCGCGGCUUAUCAGCUUGUUGGUGGGGUAGUGGCUUACCAAGGCUUUGACGGGUAGCCGGCCUGAGAGGGUGACCGGCCACAUUGGGACUGAGAUACGGCCCAGACUCCUACCGGAGACAGCAGUGGGGAAUAUUGCACAAUGGGCGGAAGCCUGAUGCAGCAACGCCGCGUGCGGGAUGACGGCCUUCGGGUUGUAAACCGCUUUCGCCUGUGACGAAGCGUGAGUGACGGUAAUGGGUAAAGAAGCACCGGCUAACUACGUG